rnacentral:rRNA from 1 species
UACGGGGGGAGCAAGCGUUGUUCGGAUUUACUGGGCGUAAAGGGCGCGUAGGCGGUCAGCACAAGUCAGUUGUGAAAUCUCCGGGCUUAACUCGGAAAGGUCAACUGAUACUGUGCGACUAGAGUGCGGAAGGGGCAACUGGAAUUCCCGGUGUAGCGGUGGAAUGCGUAGAUAUCGGGAAGAACACCGGUGGCGAAGGCGGCUCGCUGGGCUGUUGCUGACGCUGAGGCGCGAAAGCGUGGGGAGCAAACAGG